UACAGAGGUCUCGAGCGUUAGGCGGAAUCACUGGGCUUAAAGCGUGUGUAGGCGGAUUGGUAAGUACCUUGUGAAAUCCCACGGCUCAACCGUGGAACUGCUCGGUAUACUGCCUGUCUUGUGCAACCUAGGGGCGAGCGGAACUGUAGGUGGAGCGGUGAAAUGCGUAGAUAUCUACAGGAACGCCGAUGGUGAAGACGGUCCGCUGGGCAUGUCCUGACGCUGAGGCACGAAAGCGUGGGGAGCAAACAGG
rnacentral:rRNA from 1 species